rnacentral:rRNA from 1 species
AUUGAACGCUGGCGGCAUGCCUUACAUAUGCAAGUCGAACGGCAGCACGGGUGCUUGCACCUGGUGGCGAGUGGCGAACGGGUGAGUAAUACAUCGGAACGUACCUUAUCGUGGGGGAUAACGCAGCGAAAGUUGCGCUAAUACCGCAUACGCCCUGAGGGGGAAAGCGGGGGACCGUAAGGCCUCGCGCGAUUAGAGCGGCCGAUGUCUGAUUAGCUUGUUGGUGAGGUAAAAGCUCACCAAGGCGAUGAUCAGUAGCUGGUCUGAGAGGACGAUCAGCCACAAUGGGACUGAGACACGGCCCAGACUCCUACGGGAGGCAGCAGUGGGGAAUUUUGGACAAUGGGGGCAACCCUGAUCCAGCAAUGCCGCGUGAGUGAAGAAGGCCUUCGGGUUGUAAAGCUCUUUUGUCAGGGAAGAAACAGCAGCUCUAACACAGUCUGCGAAUGACGGUACCUGAAGAAUAAGCACCGGCUAACUACGUGCCAGCAGCCGCAGUAA